UACGGAGGGAGCUAGCGUUGUCCGGAAUCACUGGGCGUAAAGCGUGCGCAGGCGGUUUUGCAAGCCGGAUGUGAAAUCCCCGGGCUCAACCUGGGAAUGGCAUUUGGGACUGCAAGGCUCGAGUGCGGCAGAGGAGACUGGAAUUCCUGGUGUAGCAGUGAAAUGCGUAGAUAUCAGGAGGAAUACCGAUGGCGAAGGCAGGUCUCUGGGCUGACACUGGCGCUCAUGCACGAAAGCGUGGGGAGCAAACAGG
rnacentral:rRNA from 1 species